CCUACGGGAGGCAGCAGUGGGGAAUAUUGGUCAAUGGGGGAAACCCUGAUCCAGCGACGCCGCGUGAGUGAAGAAGUAUCUCCGUACGGUAAACCCCAUUUGCCGGGAAGCAAAUGCCGGUACCUGUCAAAGAAUCCCCGGCUCACUACGGACCACCAGCCGCGUGAAUAUGCCGGGGGCCAGCGUUCUCCGGAUUUACUGGGUGUAAAGGGAGCGUAGGCGGCAUGAAAAGUCUGGUGUGAAAUUCUGGGGCCCAACCCCGGAAUUGCUGUUGACACUGUGAAGCUUGAGUGCAGGAGAGGUAAGCGGAAUUCGUGGUGUAGCGGUGAAAUGCGUAGAUAUCAGGAGGAACACCGGUGGCGAAGGCGGCUUACUGGACUGUAACUGACGUUGAGGCUCGAAGGCGUGGGGAGCAAACAGGAUUAGAUACCCUUGUAGUC
rnacentral:rRNA from 1 species